rnacentral:lncRNA from 1 species
AUUGAACUCAGGACCUCGUGCUUGCCAGGCAGGCAUCAUGUUGCUGAGCUGUACCCUCGUACACCUUAACUGAGUAUGACUAAUUAGUUCAACAUUUGCUAGGCUAAGUGGACAUAGCAUAAGUAUAAAUAUCCCAUACUAAAUGCAAGGAACAUGCAACCUAGUCUGGCGACAAGUCUAACCCACAGCUCUAUUCUAAGUGUGGAGAUACCUUUGUGUAAGAAAAGAGACUACAUUUCUAGUGGGAGAGAGGGAGUAGUUGUUGAUUAUCACCACUCAUAACUAAUGAGAAGUCAUGAAAUGAGCCGCUUUGCUCCAACACAUCUUCUCCACCAUGAUGUUCUCCAGAAUCAACACAACCAAGUGACCAAAAACCAAAACCACUAAAUCUAUGA